UACGGGGGGGGCAAGCGUUGUCCGGAUUCACUGGGCGUAAAGGGUGCGUAGGUGGUGAGGUAAGUCGGAUGUGAAAGCUCGGAGCUCAACUCCGAAAUGGCAUUGGAAACUACCUUGCUCGAGGGUUGGAGGGGGGACUGGAAUGCUUGGUGUAGCAGUGAAAUGCGUAGAUAUCAAGCGGAACACCAGUGGCGAAGGCGAGUCCCUGGACAACUCCUGACACUGAGGCACGAAAGCUAGGGGAGCAAACAGG
rnacentral:rRNA from 1 species